rnacentral:tRNA from 3 species
UGCGCGAGUGGCGGAACUGGUAGACGCCCUGGAUUUAGGUUCCAGUGUCCUUCGGGACGUGGGGGUUCGAGUCCCCCCUUGCGCACCC